UGACGUCUCUAGAAGACAUCUGAAGGAGAUUUAAAAGAUUUUAUCGGUGAUGGAUGGGGAUGCGUCUGAUUAGCUUGUUGGCGGGGUAACGGCCCACCAAGGCGACGAUCAGUAGGGGUUCUGAGAGGAAGGCCCCCCACAUUGGAACUGAGACACGGUCCAAACUCCUACGGGAGGCAGCAGUGAGGAAUAUUGGUCAAUGGACGAGAGUCUGAACCAGCCAAGUAGCGUGCAGGAUGACGGCCCUAUGGGUUGUAAACUGCUUUUAUAAGGGAAUAAAGUGAGUCUCGUGAGACUUUUUGCAUGUACCUUAUGAAUAAGGACCGGCUAAUUCCGUG
rnacentral:rRNA from 1 species